GUUGGGUUGAUGCGACCGCUUUACUGUUUUUAGUAUACAAUUCUCGGAAGCUAGCAGCCUGCAGUAUUACACCACGAAAAAUCUAUAAAAAAGGGAUUUUGCUUAUUAUUAUACGAGGACCUUCUUCUAAACGUCUUCUUCUACCUUGGAUUGACCGGCGCUCUAAGCAGUUAGUGUUCUUUUAGACGGUUGAAAUAAAAAUAGGAUUUAGUCUAUCUAUGAUUGAUGAAAACGGGACAGUUUGCUCCAGAGCCAAGGUUACUUCAAUCGACUGAAUUAAAGAGUCCACACUCGGUGUACGUGUUCUUCUUUUUUUUCUUGGUAUUUAUCGUUGCAUUACUCUCUUUAUAAGUACUUUCAUUUUGGUAUUCAAAUAUUUAAUGAAGAAACAGCAAUUUUUUUUACAGUAGCUACAUCUCAACCUCUGCGAGUUUGCGUAUCUAUAAUUAAUCUAUGUACUGAAGUGGGUUGUCGGUGGUUCUCUAUUAGUGAGGGGAUUUACAACCUAAUAUAUCUAUCACCUCGCCACUCUACCACUGUAUAAAUAAUUUUUCUAUAAGUUUUUACGCUUAAAGUUUUGUUCAGAUCCAUCUUUUUUAAUUGAACUGUACCUGAAACUAUCAGCCUAUCGAGCCUAAGUAGAUGAUUUUUUACUUAGUAAUAGCUAAUUUAACGAAGAAGUUUACUGAAUAUCACUUGUAUGCUUUUUCUAACACCGAAGUACUAUAGUAAGUGGUAGGAAGUAGUUCCUUAGGGCUGUCAGGUCUUGUACCUUGUGAACUCAUAAGACUGGUGUAAAGGUAAUCCUUUUUUUACAGCAGGUUGAAGUUUUGUAGUUAUAAAUGAUAGACGCUCAUCUCCUUCCCUCAUAAAUCAUAGUUUGUGCAUUUCCUAAUACUAAUCUCCAUCCAUGCCACCUUAGUUAUUAUAGAAUAAAAUUCUCUGCCUGACUCAAUAAUCUGAUGUCCUUUUAAAAAGUCUUUAUAGAGAAGUAUGGCAGACACCUUUAUUUAAAAUUGCUCCUUUGAUUUCUAGAACACUUCUUUUCUUUGAAGUAAUAGGAACUUAAAGGUAAAUCUCUUGUGGUAUGUAUACAUAAGUUUGGUGUGCAAAAAUGCGGUUGCACUCUCUUCAGUGUGAUUUGGGGGAUAUAUUUUUUUAUAACCAAUUCAAGCAAUUUGUUAACAGCCUCUCUCGAUUAACCUUGUUUUAUGUGACGCAAGUUCAGCCGUAGCAGCUCAUGUAGUGAAUGCCCUUAAUUUUUUCUAUGGAUACGUCCUCUCUGUCUACUGAUCUAAACUGUCUUCUAUUGAUUGUUAAUUAUUGGCCUUUCGUGAGAUUGCAUCCUUACAGAUUUAGUAGAAGGCAUGAAGUGUUUUCAAAAAAUCGGUCUUACUUGUUUAACGUUUGGCUUAUAUAUUAAACUUGAGUAGUAAGUUCUCUUUUUAUUUUUAAUUAGAAUGCUAGGGAGCGUUUUUAGGUCUGAGGUUUAAUGUUCUUUGUAGUGUUAUAUUAUUCCCAGUUGGAGGUUUUUGAUUUUCAUUCAGGUAGUAAUUUUGAGGGCGCUGUCUGGAGGUGUCAAUACUACUGUUUCAGAUUACUAAGCUGUGAUUGAUUUUCAAGUUUUAUAUGGUCUUUCCCUAAUCCAAUAAAAAUAAAG